AAGGGCAUUACAGCCCUUUUCAAAUUUGUCUAGUAGAUUUUCCGGUUCUUACCAGAGAACUGU
ensembl:snRNA U7 U7 small nuclear RNA